UAUAUUUGUACACUAGGAAUAAGAUAUUGUCCUCAAAUUCACUUAAUUUAAUUCAAUCAAACUAAUCUAUUAAGAUUUUUUUUAUUAAAGUAUAAGUUCAGUUCAAGUCAUGUUAAAAUUAAUAAAAAGAAAAAGUGGAUUGAAACGGGUGGGUUUGACAUUAUGAAGUCUUUCCAUACCCGGCUUAGUACACAAAUUGAGUUUGAUAAAAUCUACAUGCGUACAUCUGUACGUUAGACACAGACUGAACUGGAUACAAUCUACACAAAUUACUAAAUCAUAU
rnacentral:lncRNA from 1 species